ACUCCUACGGGAGGCAGCAGUGGGGAAUAUUGCACAAUGGGCGCAAGCCUGAUGCAGCCAUGCCGCGUGUAUGAAGAAGGCCUUCGGGUUGUAAAGUACUUUCAGCAGUGAGGAAGGUGGGUAUGUUAAUAGCAUACUCAUUUGACGUUAGCUGCAGAAAGAAGCACCGGGCUAAACUCCGUGCCAGCAGCCGCGGUAAUACGGAGGGUGCGAGCGUUAAUCGGAAUUACUGGGCGUAAAGCGCAUGCAGGUGGUUUGUUAAGUCAGAUGUGAAAG
rnacentral:rRNA from 1 species